AGGUGCCUACGGGACGCAGCAGUGGGGAAUAUUGCACAAUGGGGGAAACCCUGAUGCAGCGACGCCGCGUGAGUGAAGAAGUAUUUCGGUACGUAAAGCUCUAUCAGCAGGGAAGAAAAAAAGUCCUUUGGACUUUGGACGGUACCUGACCAAGAAGCCCCGGCUAACUACGUGCCAGCAGCCGCGGUAAUACGGAGGGUGCGAGCGUUAAUCGGAAUUACUGGGCGUAAAGCGCUCGUAGGCGGUAUGUCAAGUCAAGGGUGAAAUCCCCGCGCUCAACGUGGGAACUGCCUUUGAAACUGGCA
rnacentral:rRNA from 1 species